CAGUCGCCGCGGGAAUACGUAGGUGGCAAGCGUUGUCCGGAAUUAUUGGGCGUAAAGGGCCCGCAGGCGGUUUCUUAGGUCUGAUGUGAAAGCCCCCGGCUCAACCGGGGAGGGUCAUUGGAAACUGGGAAACUUGAGUGCAGAAGAGGAGAGUGGAAUUCCACGUGUAGCGGUGAAAUGCGUAGAGAUGUGGAGGAACACCAGUGGCGAAGGCGACUCUCUGGUCUGUAACUGACGCUGAGGAGCGAAAGCGUGGGGAGCGAACAGGAUUAGAGACCCCAGUAGUCCCUGUCUCUUAUAC
rnacentral:rRNA from 1 species